GGGUUGUGAGGUUAAGCGACUAAGCGUACACGGUGGAUGCCCUGGCAGUCAGAGGCGAUGAAGGACGUGCUAAUCUGCGAUAAGCGUCGGUAAGGUGAUAUGAACCGUUAUAACCGGCGAUUUCCGAAUGGGGAAACCCAGUGUGUUUCGACACACUAUCAUUAACUGAAUCCAUAGGUUAAUGAGGCGAACCGGGGGAACUGAAACAUCUAAGUACCCCGAGGAAAAGAAAUCAACCGAGAUUCCCCCAGUAGCGGCGAGCGAACGGGGAGCAGCCCAGAGCCUGAAUCAGUGUGUGUGUUAGUGGAAGCGUCUGGAAAGGCGCGCGAUACAGGGUGACAGCCCCGUACACAAAAAUGCACAUGCUGUGAGCUCGAUGAGUAGGGCGGGACACGUGGUAUCCUGUCUGAAUAUGGGGGGACCAUCCUCCAAGGCUAAAUACUCCUGACUGACCGAUAGUGAACCAGUACCGUGAGGGAAAGGCGAAAAGAACCCCGGCGAGGGGAGUGAAAAAGAACCUGAAACCGUGUACGUACAAGCAGUGGGAGCACGCUUAGGCGUGUGACUGCGUACCUUUUGUAUAAUGGGUCAGCGACUUAUAUUCUGUAGCAAGGUUAACCGAAUAGGGGAGCCGAAGGGAAACCGAGUCUUAACUGGGCGUUAAGUUGCAGGGUAUAGACCCGAAACCCGGUGAUCUAGCCAUGGGCAGGUUGAAGGUUGGGUAACACUAACUGGAGGACCGAACCGACUAAUGUUGAAAAAUUAGCGGAUGACUUGUGGCUGGGGGUGAAAGGCCAAUCAAACCGGGAGAUAGCUGGUUCUCCCCGAAAGCUAUUUAGGUAGCGCCUCGUGAAUUCAUCUCCGGGGGUAGAGCACUGUUUCGGCAAGGGGGUCAUCCCGACUUACCAACCCGAUGCAAACUGCGAAUACCGGAGAAUGUUAUCACGGGAGACACACGGCGGGUGCUAACGUCCGUCGUGAAGAGGGAAACAACCCAGACCGCCAGCUAAGGUCCCAAAGUCAUGGUUAAGUGGGAAACGAUGUGGGAAGGCCCAGACAGCCAGGAUGUUGGCUUAGAAGCAGCCAUCAUUUAAAGAAAGCGUAAUAGCUCACUGGUCGAGUCGGCCUGCGCGGAAGAUGUAACGGGGCUAAACCAUGCACCGAAGCUGCGGCAGCGACGCUGAUGCGUUGUUGGGUAGGGGAGCGUUCUGUAAGCCUGCGAAGGUGUGCUGUGAGGCAUGCUGGAGGUAUCAGAAGUGCGAAUGCUGACAUAAGUAACGAUAAAGCGGGUGAAAAGCCCGCUCGCCGGAAGACCAAGGGUUCCUGUCCAACGUUAAUCGGGGCAGGGUGAGUCGACCCCUAAGGCGAGGCCGAAAGGCGUAGUCGAUGGGAAACAGGUUAAUAUUCCUGUACUUGGUGUUACUGCGAAGGGGGGACGGAGAAGGCUAUGUUGGCCGGGCGACGGUUGUCCCGGUUUAAGCGUGUAGGCUGGUUUUCCAGGCAAAUCCGGAAAAUCAAGGCUGAGGCGUGAUGACGAGGCACUACGGUGCUGAAGCAACAAAUGCCCUGCUUCCAGGAAAAGCCUCUAAGCAUCAGGUAACAUCAAAUCGUACCCCAAACCGACACAGGUGGUCAGGUAGAGAAUACCAAGGCGCUUGAGAGAACUCGGGUGAAGGAACUAGGCAAAAUGGUGCCGUAACUUCGGGAGAAGGCACGCUGAUAUGUAGGUGAAGCGACUUGCUCGUGGAGCUGAAAUCAGUCGAAGAUACCAGCUGGCUGCAACUGUUUAUUAAAAACACAGCACUGUGCAAACACGAAAGUGGACGUAUACGGUGUGACGCCUGCCCGGUGCCGGAAGGUUAAUUGAUGGGGUUAGCCGCAAGGCGAAGCUCUUGAUCGAAGCCCCGGUAAACGGCGGCCGUAACUAUAACGGUCCUAAGGUAGCGAAAUUCCUUGUCGGGUAAGUUCCGACCUGCACGAAUGGCGUAAUGAUGGCCAGGCUGUCUCCACCCGAGACUCAGUGAAAUUGAACUCGCUGUGAAGAUGCAGUGUACCCGCGGCAAGACGGAAAGACCCCGUGAACCUUUACUAUAGCUUGACACUGAACAUUGAGCCUUGAUGUGUAGGAUAGGUGGGAGGCUUUGAAGUGUGGACGCCAGUCUGCAUGGAGCCGACCUUGAAAUACCACCCUUUAAUGUUUGAUGUUCUAACGUUGACCCGUAAUCCGGGUUGCGGACAGUGUCUGGUGGGUAGUUUGACUGGGGCGGUCUCCUCCUAAAGAGUAACGGAGGAGCACGAAGGUUGGCUAAUCCUGGUCGGACAUCAGGAGGUUAGUGCAAUGGCAUAAGCCAGCUUGACUGCGAGCGUGACGGCGCGAGCAGGUGCGAAAGCAGGUCAUAGUGAUCCGGUGGUUCUGAAUGGAAGGGCCAUCGCUCAACGGAUAAAAGGUACUCCGGGGAUAACAGGCUGAUACCGCCCAAGAGUUCAUAUCGACGGCGGUGUUUGGCACCUCGAUGUCGGCUCAUCACAUCCUGGGGCUGAAGUAGGUCCCAAGGGUAUGGCUGUUCGCCAUUUAAAGUGGUACGCGAGCUGGGUUUAGAACGUCGUGAGACAGUUCGGUCCCUAUCUGCCGUGGGCGCUGGAGAACUGAGGGGGGCUGCUCCUAGUACGAGAGGACCGGAGUGGACGCAUCACUGGUGUUCGGGUUGUCAUGCCAAUGGCACUGCCCGGUAGCUAAAUGCGGAAGAGAUAAGUGCUGAAAGCAUCUAAGCACGAAACUUGCCCCGAGAUGAGUUCUCCCUGACCCUUUAAGGGUCCUGAAGGAACGUUGAAGACGACGACGUUGAUAGGCCGGGUGUGUAAGCGCAGCGAUGCGUUGAGCUAACCGGUACUAAUGAACCGUGAGGCUUAACCUUACAACGCCGAAG
rnacentral:rRNA from 1 species